rnacentral:rRNA from 1 species
UACGUAGGGUGCAAGCGUUGUCCGGAAUUAUUGGGCGUAAAGAGCUCGUAGGCGGUUUGUCGCGUCUGCUGUGAAAACCCGAGGCUCAACCUCGGGCCUGCAGUGGGUACGGGCAGACUAGAGUGCGGUAGGGGAGAUUGGAAUUCCUGGUGUAGCGGUGGAAUGCGCAGAUAUCAGGAGGAACACCGGUGGCGAAGGCGGCUACCUGGACAGAAACUGACGCUGAGGCGCGAAAGCUAGGGGAGCAAACAGG